GUGCCAGCCGCCGCGGUAAGACGAACCGUGCGAACGUUGUUCGGAAUCACUGGGCUUAAAGGGCGCGUAGGCGGGCUAUCAAGUCCGGGGUGAAAUACUCCAGCUCAACUGGAGAACGGCCUCGGAUACUGAUGGCCUCGAGGGAGAUAGGGGCACGCGGAACUGUGGGUGGAGCGGUGAAAUGCGUUGAUAUCCAUAGGAACUCCGGUGGCGAAGGCGGCGUGCUGGAUCUCAUCUGACGCUGAGGCGCGAAAGCCAGGGGAGCAAACGGGAUUAGAUACCCCGGUAGUCC
rnacentral:rRNA from 1 species